rnacentral:ncRNA from 1 species
CAAAAGCUUGGUCCUGACUUUACUAUCAGCUUUGGCCAAAUUUACACAUGCAAGUAUCCGCAACCCUGUGAGAAUGCCCUACAGUUCCCCUUACCCGGGGGAACAAGGAGCCGGUAUCAGGCACAACUUAUUGUUUUAGCCCACGACACCUUGCUUAGCCACACCCUCAAGGGAACUCAGCAGUGAUAAACAUUAAGCCAUGAGUGUAAACUUGACUUAGUUAAGGCCAAGCAGAGCCGGCAAAACUCGUGCCAGCCGCCGCGGUUAUACGAGAGGCUCAAGUUGAUACAUCUACGGCGUAAAGAGUGGUUAAGAGAACUGUAAAACUAAAGCCGAACAUCUUCAAGGCUGUCAUACGCACCCGAAGACAUGAAGAACCCCUACGAAAGUGGCUUUAAAUCUUCUGACCCCACGAAAGCUGGGACACAAACUGGGAUUAGAUACCCCACUAUGCCCAGCCAUAAACACAAGUAGUAACCUUUACACCUACUGCUCGCCCGGGAACUACGAGCAUAAGCUUAAAACCCAAAGGACUUGGCGGUGCUUUAGAUCCACCUAGAGGAGCCUGUUCUAGAACCGAUAACCCCCGUUCAACCUCACCUUUUCUUGUAUUACCCCGCCUAUAUACCGCCGUCGUCAGCCUACCCUGUGAAGAACACAUAGUAAGCAAAAUUGGCAGAGCCCAAAACGUCAGGUCGAGGUGUAGCGUAUGAGAAGGGAAGAAAUGGGCUACAUUCACUGAACCAGUACACACGGACGAUGCUUUGAAACCAAACAUCUGAAGGAGGAUUUAGCAGUAAGGAGGAAAAUAGAGCGUUCCCCUGAAACCGGCCCUGAAGCGCGCACACACCGCCCGUCACUCUCCCCGAGCUUAACUACUACCUAUUAAAUAAGAACAUAAUAACUGCAACAAAGGGGAGGCAAGUCGUAACAUGGUAAGUGUACCGGAAGGUGCACUUGGAAAAA